GUGCUCGUUUCGACAGCACAUAUACUAAAAUUGGAACAAUACGGAUAUUAGCAGGGCCCCUGCGCAAGGCUGACACCCAAAUUUGUGAGGUGUUCCAUAUUUUA